CAGUCGCCGCGGUAAUACGUAGGGUGCGAGCGUUAAUCGGAAUUACUGGGCGUAAAGCGUGCGCAGGCGGUUCGUUAAGACAGAUGUGAAAUCCCCGGGCUUAACCUGGGAACUGCAUUUGUGACUGGCGAGCUAGAGUAUGGCAGAGGGGGGUAGAAUUCCACGUGUAGCAGUGAAAUGCGUAGAGAUGUGGAGGAAUACCGAUGGCGAAGGCAGCCCCCUGGGCCAAUACUGACGCUCAUGCACGAAAGCGUGGGGAGCAAACAGGAUUAGAUACCCCCGUAGUCCUGUCUCUUAUACC
rnacentral:rRNA from 1 species